GGGGGGCACCCGAAGCAAACGGAGCCUAUUCAAGCAAGACCAAUCAGAGCGUUUCACGAGAAGCCGCGCUUGCGUUCCAACCCUGAUGAUGUCGAGAUAGACCCAAAACAAAGCACGACGCUGGAACUUUCGGCAUGGCGGUGGCUUUUCCGUAAGCGGACAAAGAAUGGGCUGUUGAAGCAAGCACUAUUUGAAAUGACCGAGAGUGAUCCAUCCAUACAGGUCAACCCGGACGAUGCAUGCGAUAACUUUCCGUAAGUUACCCAAUCGAAAAUAAAUUUAUGAAGAACCCUAUCGGUCGGAUAUUUGUUAGGAAACAUACCUGAUAUGAAAACUUCUGGAAAUUCCCCGUUUUUAAUUUGUAAACUUUUUUUUUCCUUCUUGUUCAUGCCCCGUAGAUAUGUGAUGUUUGAAGACAUGUUUGGGGCACGGGUGGAAACUAUAGCCCUUCAAUCCCUGGAGAUUGGAAGCAAUGUAGCCGGGUCAAUAGUCGAUGCAUGGGCGCACGUCUUCAACGGUGACCCAAAAUUUUCAAUCCCCGGGAUGCCUAGACGCUUGUUUAGCGUCCACACAGCCGUGGUUGACUGGAUGUUAAGCUUGGAGACAGACCCUGAUGGGGGUCGCGUGUCUGCGUUUGAAUGUGGGCUCAAGAGUAGCCUGGCCGGGCGACAUCACCUGCUGGACCUGUGAGCGUUCGACAUGGUCUUUGUGACAAUGCUAGAGGGAGACCACUACUACCUUGUAGUUUUUGAUUUGGAGGCCGAGUGCAUACACCUCGUUGACCACUUGGGCGACAGGGGGUCUGGGGCAUUGUUAAGGGAUGACGACAGCUAUAUCAUGAAGUCAACACCGUUUAAAGUGUUGGUGAAUCAUCCCAAAGUGACAGCAAUGCAAGCGAGUCUCAUUAUGCGCGAGGACCUUCCAUGGUCUACAACCCGCAGAAUUGUAGCGCCGUUUGUUGAGUCCGGCAUAUUCGCAAUGCGCCAUAUGGAACAGUUUGUGGGUUCCAGGCGAAGUUUCUUCUGUGGGUUUAGUGUCCACGGGGCGCGGAAAAAAGUCCAGUGCAAUUACUUACGCAAAAGGUAUGCUGCGGAGAUAAUGUUGUCCCCCGUGAACAAAUAUGGCGACGUCAUUCGACGUCGGUUGCAGUUUGUGUAGUCAUUGUUCUGACAUGUUAGCCAGUCACUUUUUUUUGAAUGGGGGUAUUAUGGGUUGGGCGUCUUUUGGGGUGGUUUUUAGCAAGCUUAGACAAUGACUUUUUUGUUUUGGGACGAUUGACAGAUGUGUUUCUGUGGGUCACUAGGACAACCGCAUGUUGGUUGACUAAAAACACCCAGUAGGGGGUGGUUUUAAAAAAAAAUUCCCUUUCCUUUUUUGUU